rnacentral:rRNA from 1 species
CAGCAGCCACGGGAAUACGAAGGGGGCUAGCGUUGUUCGGAAUUACUGGGCGUAAAGCGCACGUAGGCGGAUAUUUAAGUCAGGGGUGAAAUCCCGCAGCUCAACUGCGGAACUGCCUUUGAUACUGGGUAUCUUGAGUAUGGAAGAGGUUAGUGGAAUUGCGAGUGUAGAGGUGAAAUUCGUAGAUAUUCGCAGGAACACCAGUGGCGAAGGCGGCUAACUGGUCCAUAACUGACGCUGAGGUGCGAAAGCGUGGGGAGCAAACAGGAUUAGAGACCCGAGUAGUCCCUGUCUCUUAUAC